AUGCAAAAAAAUAGAACUGUUUGUCGUUUUAAUUAUCUUAAGCCUCCGUCUGCGAGAACUUUUAUAUCUCGCCCGCCUAUUGAAGAUGAGGAGGAGGAUAAAACAUGCACAUGUCAGAAAGAUGGAAAAAAAUUGGCAGAUUGUGCAUGCAAAACUAAGAAACAGAAAAAAUCACAAGACAAAGAAAUGGCAGUGAAAAUUACAACAAUAAUUAAAAAGGCCCUUUCAGAUGACGAUGCCAGUUUUGAUAGUGUAGAACAAUUGUUUACAUAUUUACAGAUAAAUCAAAGGAUGUUUGAGAAGGCGUACAAUAUUUGUGCUAAGAAGACUCAUGUUCUUUUAAGAAGGCAAGCUAAUGAAGUUUGGAUUAAUCAAUUUAGUAAACCACUUUUAAAAUGUUGGAAUGCGAAUAUUGAUAUCCAAUAUGUUGUUGACGCAUAUGCUUGUGUAGUGUACAUUAUUUCCUACAUUUCUAAAGCAGAGCGUGAGAUAGGAUUAUUAUUAGGGAAUGCACAGAGGGAGGCAGCUAGAGAGGGAAAUGGCAGCGCUAAAGACACACUUAAAAAUUUAGGAAGUGUGUAUUUACAUAAUAGAGAUGUGUGUGCACAAGAGGCUGUCUACAGGUUGACUGGCAUGUAUCUGAGGGAGUGUUCUAGGAAAGUUGUAUUUGUUCCAGUUGGGGAUAAUGCUGUUAAAAUGAGUUUGCCUUUAUCUGUGUUAAAACAAAAGGCAUCAACACAUGACCUUACCACAGACGAUAUGUGGAUGACUAGUUCUGUUGACAGAUAUAAGAAUAGGCCAAGAGACAGUACCUUUAAUGAUGAUUCCAUGGAAUGGCGCCGGCGACAAUGGCAGCCUGUCAUGGCAGCUCCUUUCAUUGCUGUAGUUUUAGUGUGUUUUUGCUAUUUUGAACUCUUUUCUUACUUUCUUACUACUUUGUUCAUGUCGCCUAAAUACUUUUUUGGCGUUUUUGAGCACUUUUUAUUUUCUGUUUACGCUGGUCUCCAUGGCGACGGGGAGUCGCAUUGUUUUCACCCGCGACCAGAUGAUCGCCCUGAGGCCCCCUAG
rnacentral:lncRNA from 15 species